UCCAAGGUGAAUAGCCUCUAGUUCAUAGAAUAAUGUAGGUAAGGGAAGUCGGCAAAUUAGAUCCGUAACUUCGGGAAAAGGAUUGGCUCUGAGGGCUAAGCAGAAUGAGUAUUGGUUAGGAAACGGCUUGUGGUGCAUGGGUUUGUUGUGCUUUCGGGUGUGAUGAAUGUGUGUACUAUGAAAAGGGCCCUACUAGUAUUAACGCUGCAAUGAAUAGCUAACUCAGAACUGGUACGGACAAGGGGAAUCCGACUGUGAAUGUACGAGUCUUUCAAGGUGAUGAAGGAGGAUUGGGGGAGAUAAUGUGCGCCAUGCAAUCGCGACUUCCACCGAUCCCUCCGUUACGGUGUUGGUUGGAAAGGGCUCAAAGAGU
rnacentral:ncRNA from 1 species